rnacentral:rRNA from 1 species
GACGAACGCUGGCGGCGUGCUUAACACAUGCAAGUCGAACGGAAAGGCCCUGCUUUUGUGGGGUGCUCGAGUGGCGAACGGGUGAGUAACACGUGAGUAACCUGCCCUUGACUUUGGGAUAACUUCAGGAAACUGGGGCUAAUACCGGAUAGGAGCUCCUGCUGCAUGGUGGGGGUUGGAAAGUUUCGGCGGUUGGGGAUGGACUCGCGGCUUAUCAGCUUGUUGGUGGGGUAGUGGCUUACCAAGGCUUUGACGGGUAGCCGGCCUGAGAGGGUGACCGGCCACAUUGGGACUGAGAUACGGCCCAGACUCCUACGGGAGGCAGCAGUGGGGAAUAUUGCACAAUGGGCGGGAGCCUGAUGCAGCAACGCCGCGUGCGGGAUGACGGCCUUCGGGUUGUAAACCGCUUUCGCCUGUGACGAAGCGUGAGUGACGGUAACGGGUAAAGAAGCACCGGCUAACUACGUG